rnacentral:rRNA from 1 species
CAGCAGCCGCGGUAAUACGAAGGGUGCAAGCGUUACUCGGAAUUACUGGGCGUAAAGCGUGCGUAGGUGGUUUGUUAAGUCUCUUGGUGAAAGGCUGGGGCUCAACCCCAUGCAUGCCGGGGAUACUGGGGGGCUUGAGACAGGUAGAGGCCAGCGGAAUUCCGGGUGUAGCGGUGGAAUGCGUAGAGAUCCGGAAGAACACCGGAGGCGAAGGCGGCUGGCUGGACCUGAUCUGACGCUGAGGUGCGAAAGCGUGGGGAGC